rnacentral:misc_RNA from 1 species
GAUGAAGAACGUAGCGAAAUGCGAUAAGUAAUGUGAAUUGCAGAAUUCAGUGAAUCAUCGAAUCUUUGAACGCAUCUUGCGCUCCUUGGUAUUCUGAGGUGCAUGCCUGUUUGAGUGUCAUUAAAUUCUCAACUACACUGACUUUGAAUUGGUGUGGCUUGGAUUUGGGGGGAAAAUUGUUGUGGGCUUUUUGUAUAGUCUGCUCCCCUGAAAUUGAUUAGCGGUACCUUUGUGGAACUGUCUACAGGUGUGAUAAUUAUCUACAUCUUAGACAUCUGCUGGAAUGCUGCUUUCUAAACCUUACUUGUUUUGACAAUCUUGACCUCAAAUCAGGUAGGACUACCCGCUGAACUUAAGCAUAUCAAUAAGCGGAGGA